rnacentral:lncRNA from 1 species
CUUUGCUCAUUUCCACCAUAAUUUUAAAUUAGACUAGACAUUAGAUUUAGAGUUAAAACGAAGCUUGAAUUUAUUGACCUACUAGUUUCAACUUAACCAAUCUAAAAUUUGUGUUUCUAUCUUUGUAGCUUGUCCGGUUUCGAAAGCCGGGAGUUUUGAUUAGAUAUCACUCCCAUUGUUUAUUGAAGGAAUAAAAUGGUUGAAUUACGGUUGAGGUUGUAAGAUUGCUAUAUAAUUGUGAGGGUUGAGGUCGGAAGCUUAUCUAAUAAACUGCCUUGUCGAGGUUGAAAGUUGACAUUAUAAAUCAUGUUUUAAUUGUUGAUGUUGAGGAAUUUCUAUUGAAAUGUAAAUUGAGGAAAUCAACUUGUUGAAAUUGUGAAGUUGUCAUAGAAAGCUUGUUUUAAGCAAGAUGGUGAAAAAUUAAUAUCACGACCCGGUACUCCCCUCGAGCCCGUGACAACCGUCGCGAUGUCCUAAUCGACACUCAUCACCCGGAAUGUCAAUCGGAACCCCGCAAGGUUUUAAUAUCAGUUUCUCAUUUUCC